rnacentral:rRNA from 1 species
AUAAGAGUUUUGAACCUUUUUUCAGGAUGAACGCUGGCGGCGUGCCUAAUACAUGCAAGUCGAGCGAACAGACGAGGAGCUUGCUCCUCUGACGUUAGCGGCGGACGGGUGAGUAACACGUGGAUAACCUACCUAUAAGACUGGGAUAACUUCGGGAAACCGGAGCUAAUACCGGAUAAUAUAUUGAACCGCAUGGUUCAAUAGUGAAAGACGGUUUUGCUGUCACUUAUAGAUGGAUCCGCGCCGCAUUAGCUAGUUGGUAAGGUAACGGCUUACCAAGGCAACGAUGCGUAGCCGACCUGAGAGGGUGAUCGGCCACACUGGAACUGAGACACGGUCCAGACUCCUACGGGAGGCAGCAGUAGGGAAUCUUCCGCAAUGGGCGAAAGCCUGACGGAGCAACGCCGCGUGAGUGAUGAAGGUCUUCGGAUCGUAAAACUCUGUUAUUAGGGAAGAACAAAUGUGUAAGUAACUAUGCACGUCUGACGUACCUAAUCAGAUGACCAUUGCNC